GCUGGGCGUUGUGGCGGGCACCUGUAAUCCCAGCUACUUGGGAAGCUGAGGCAAGAAAAUUGCUUAAGCCCAAGAGUUUGAGGUUGCUGUGAGCUGUGAGUUCACAGCACUUUACCGAGAGUGACAUAUUGGGACUCUGUCUCAAAAAAAAAAAAUCUAUAUUUCUUUUGUUUUUUUGAGACAGAGUCUCACUUUGUCGCUCUUAGUAGAGUGCCGUGGGGUCACAUCUCACAACAACCUCAAACUCUUGGGUUCAAGUGAUUCUCUUGCCU
rnacentral:sRNA from 1 species